rnacentral:rRNA from 1 species
GAUGAACGCUGGCGGCGUGCCUAAUACAUGCAAGUCGAGCGAACGGACGAGAGGCUUGCUUCUCUGAUGUUAGCGGCGCACGGGUGAGUAACACGUGGAUAACCUACCUAUAAGACUGGGAUAACUUCGGGAAACCGGAUCUAAUACCGGAUAAUAUUUUGAACCGCAUGGUUCAAAAGUGAUAGACGGUCUUGCUGUCACUUAUAGAUGGACCCGCUCUGCAUUAGCUAGUUGGUAAGGUAACGGCUUACCAAGGCAACGAUGGAUAGCCGACCUGAGAGGGGGGUAGGCCACACUGGAACUGAGACACGGUCACGACGCCUGCGAGAGGCAGCAGUAGGAAAUCUUACGCAGUGGGCGAAAGCCUGACGGAGCAACGCCGCGUGAGUGAUGACGGUCUUCGGAUCGUAAAACUCUGUUAUUAGGGAAGAACAUAUGUGUAAGUAACUGUACACAUCUUGACGGUACCUAAUCAGAAAGCCACGGCUAACUACGUG